rnacentral:rRNA from 1 species
UUUCAAGCUGAAGUCAAAUUAGAAUACUUGCUGAACUUAAGCAUAUUAAUAAGCAAAGGAAAAGAAAUCAACUGAGAUUGCCUUAGUAAUGGCGAAUGAACCGGCAAAAGCUCAUUGCUGAAGCGUGUUAGAUUUACUUCUGACAUGCAUUGUAGCAUUUGGGGUAACUACUGUAUGGUGCCUGUUCGUGUGAGUUCCUUUGAUCAGGGCUUUAACCAUAGAAGGUGCUAGUCCUAUAAUCACGAAUAGUUCUGUGCCGUACAUUGUCUACCUUUCGAGUAGCGUAGUUUGAGAUUGCUACGCCAACGUGGGACGUAAACUUGUUCCAAAGCUAAAUAUUAUAACGAGACCGAUAGCGAACAAGUACCGUGAGGGAAAGUUGAAAAGCACUCUGAAGAGAGAGUUAAAUAGUACGUAAAACCGUACAGAAGAAAACGAAUGGCCGCAUUCAUCAGAUUACUUUGGAUUCAAUUCGAUUUCUAUAUGAUGGUAAUACAUGUUGAUUUGGAACUUCAACAGUCCAUUGAUAUGUUCUUGCCUAGAAUCGGAUGCAUUUUCAAAGUAUUAACUGAACCUGGAUCUAUAACAUUACAGCUAGUCGAAUCAGUCUAUUUUGGUAGCGACUUUUAGUCGUGUUAAAAAUAUGACUUGCAUAAAUAACAAAUUCGACUUGGCGUUAUAGGUAAACUGACGUGUUCUUUGAUUUCAGUACUUUCGAGUACGGCACGCCAUGAGCAUUGUUUGUGUUACAUGAGUAACUAAUAUCUAAACAAUAUUAGUUUUAUUCAUUGUCAAUGCCUAAUGUUUUGUGGCUGUCAAUGAAAUCGGCAAGUCAACAGGAGUUUUGAAUGCCGAGUUAUUCGACCCGUCUUGAAACACGGUCUAAGGAGUUCACUGCAUGUGCAAGAGUUCGGCUGUAUGAAAAGCCUUGCUCGUAAUGAAAGUAAAGAACAUUCUUGCAAUGUUUGAAGUGUGAUUUCUGUCAUCUGGUGCAAAUCAUGACAAUGAACGCAACACUGACAGGUUCUAUUGCCGCUGGCAAAGAGCUUAGUAAGAGUAUAUGCAAUGAGACCCGAAAGAUGGUGAACUUAACGUGUGUAGAAUGAAGCCAGGGGAAACCCUGGUGGAAGUUCGUAGCGGUUCUGACGUGCAAAUCGAUCGUCAAACAUGCGUUAAGGGGCGAAAGACUAAUCGAACCAUCUAGUAGCUGGUUCCGUCCGAAGUUUCCCUCAGGAUAGCUGGCAUUCAAUUUUCACAGUUAUAUCCGGUAAAGCGAAUGUUUAGAGGCAUUGGGCGUAAAAUACGCUCAACCUAUUGACAAACUUUAAAUGGGUAUGAAGUUCAUUUUUCUACUUCAUUGAGAAUGAACAGCGAAUGUGAGUGCCAAGUGGGCCAUUUUUGGUAAGCAGAACUGGCGCUGUUGGAUGCACAAAACGUCAAGAUAAAGAGCCAGAUGGUCUCGCUCAUCAGAUACCAUAAAAGGUGUUGGUCGAUAUAGACAGCAGGACGGUGGCCAUGGAAGUCGGAAUCCGUUAAGGAGUGUGUAACAACUCACCUGCCGAAUCGACUAGUCCUAAAAAUGGAUGGCGCUCGAGCGAGCCUCUUAUACUUGACUGUUACGAUACAACAAGCCAUUAACGGACAUCAUGUCGUAACAAGUAGGACGGUUGAUAUGGUUGCGUCGAAGGCUAACACGUGAGUGUGGCUUGAGCAGUCAUAUGUACAGAUCUUAGUGGUAGUAGCAACUAUUCAAAUGAGAACUUUGAAGACUGACGUGGAGAAAGGUUCCAUGUGAACAGCUAUUGGACAUGGGUCAGUCAGUCCUAAGAUGCGCUCGAAAGAGGGUUCCGAACGAGGAAUAUCUAUAUUCAUAUCAUAUUUAUAUUCCAUCAAAUCGAAAGGGAAACAAGUUAAUAUUCUUGUACUAAGUGUCGGAGAUUGUUUGAUUUCGUGUCAAACAUAUGUGGUAACACAAACAAGCUCAAAUACAUCACAAGUGGUCCUGGAAAGAGUUUUCUCUUCUUUGUUACUUCAUCAGACGACCCUGGAAUCAGUUCAACUGGAGAUAGGGUUCAAAUGAAGGUAAAGAGUAGCCGUUCUUGCUACUUCCUCGGUGCAUCAUUUGUGAUCCUUGAAAAUUUGAGCGAGAUAUUCAAUUUCGCACUUAUCUGUACUCUAAACCGCAUCAGGUCUCCAAGGUGAAAAGCCUCUAGUCAAUUAGAACAAGGUAGCACAAGGGAAGUCGGCAAAAUCGAUCGGCAACUUCGGGAUAACGAUUGGCUCUAAGUGCUAGGGUGUUCGGGCUUGAUGAUAAAGCAGUAGACUUGCUAUUGGAGCUGAGCUUUCGGAUGCAGCAAUGUGUCUGAUCGUUCGGACUAGUGGCUUGUCUUGCUGUGGAAUCGUUUUGCUACGGUAUGCGGUUCGCUUGCGGGCCGUAUUACUUCGGACAUCGUUUAAUAGCAAACUUAGAACUCGCUGCGUCUAGGGGAAUCCGACUGUCUAAUUAAAACAGAGCUUUGCGAUUGGCCGGAAAACUUGGUGUUGACGCAAAGUGAUUUCUGCCCAGUGCUCUGAAUGUUAACGUGAAGAAAUUCAAAUAAGCGCGGGUAAACGGCGGGAGUAACUAUGACUCUCUUCUGGUAGCCAAAUGCCUCGUCAUCUAAUUAGUGACGCGCAUGAGGGAGCGAUGCAGACACCUCCACGCGGUGCUCCUGGAAAGUUGAAGGGGACUAAGUUUCCCACUCAGCAACUAAUCAUCUGUACAAACGAAGCCGAAGCCCGGCGCAAACUCAGGUCUGAUCGUCUUGUCCACCCAACGGUGGCAAGCGAUGACUCAAAGUUAACCGUUGGUUUUCGUGCGUCGUCACCUAUGCUCACCCAUCAAUCCGAACAAAGUCCACUUGGACAAAAAGGAUCGGGUGAGGGAGUCUCUGCUCUGCAGAGGAGACCAGGUCAUUGGAAUGACGAAGAGAUUGAAGAGCUGAGUAGACUGGUCAGUAGCAAUAUUGGCCCCCAGGGUAAAAUCUCCUGGGUAGCUGUUGAAAAAGCUUGGAAAGAUCUCAACCUCGGUGAAAGAUCUAAAGGAAGCCUAUGUGCAAAGUGGCGUGACAUUAAGAACAGGUCAGCCACCCAGAUGGUUCCUGACGACUCUAAGGAAUCUCAAGGAAAUGAUAAUGUAACAUCAUCUGACAGUGUAACAACGGACACUACUGUCCCUACCCAAGUUCAGGUUGACAGUAGUAGCACUGCGGAUAAAGAAAAUGAAGACAAACAGUCAUCUGGAACUGUCGAUGCAGAGACUGUCAAUGUCAAUAUUGAUAUCAAGCAGAUAUUCAAUAAAUAUAUGAAAAUAUCGAAAAAGAUUGG